rnacentral:rRNA from 1 species
UGCCAGCAGCCGCGGUAAUACGGAGGGUGCGAACGUUAAUCGGAAUUACUGGGCGUAAAGCGCGCGUAGGUGGUUUGAUAAGUGGGAUGUGAAAGCCCCGGGCUCAACCUGGGAACUGCAUUCCAAACUGUCGAGCUAGAGUAUGGUAGGGGGAGGUAGAAUUUCCUGUGUAGCGGUGAAAUGCGUAGAUAUAGGAAGGAAUACCGGUGGCGAAGGCGGCCUCCUGGACCAAUACUGACACUGAGGUGCGAAAGCGUGGGGAGCAAACAGGAUUAGAUA